GAUCUAGUGCAAUAGACUAGGAAGGGGGCUGUUCACAUAAUGGUUGACCAAUGUAUGGCAAUACAACCACAUUGUGAAACACUGGAGACAGUCUGCAUUUUAUUGAAAAGAACUCAUGUUAGUAUGUGUUGUCUUUCAGAUCCUUCAAUGUCUAGACGGCAGUAUCUUAUCGUUUUGUUAGCACUCUGCCUUUUUGCUACAAUUGCAAUUGUGGUCAUGGCAAUAUAUUUGAAGAAGAAAAGAGAAAAUAAUAUUAGUAGAUGUACAGCUCACAGUCUUGAAGAGUCGCAGUAUGCUGAUGUGAAACAUUGUGCACGUGCAAAGGAACAACAUCAGGAUGUCUUACAGGAG